rnacentral:rRNA from 1 species
AAGUCGUAACAAGGUCUCCGUUGGUGAACCAGCGGAGGGAUCAUUACCGAGUUAUCCAACUCCCAACCCCUGUGAAUUAUACCUUUAAUUGUUGCUUCGGCGGGACUUCGCGCCCGCCGGGGACCCAAACCUUCUGAAUUUUUUAAUAAGUAUCUUCUGAGUGGUUAAAAAAAUGAAUCAAAACUUUCAACAACGGAUCUCUUGGUUCUGGCAUCGAUGAAGAACGCAGCGAAAUGCGAUAAGUAAUGUGAAUUGCAGAAUUCAGUGAAUCAUCGAAUCUUUGAACGCACAUUGCGCCCGUCAGUAUUCUGGCGGGCAUGCCUGUUCGAGCGUCAUUACGCCCCUCAAGUCCCCUGUGGACUUGGUGUUGGGGAUCGGCGAGGCUGGUUUUCCAGCACAGCCGUCCCUUAAAUUAAUUGGCGGUCUCGCCGUGGCCCUCCUCUGCGCAGUAGUAAAACACUCGCAACAGGAGCCCGGCGCGGUCCACUGCCGUAAAACCCCCCAACUUUUUAUAGUUGACCUCGAAUCAGGUAGGACUACCCGCUGAACUUAA